rnacentral:rRNA from 1 species
UACGUAGGGUGCAAGCGUUGUCCGGAAUUAUUGGGCGUAAAGAGCUCGUAGGCGGUCUGUCGCGUCUGCUGUGAAAUCCCGGGGCUCAACUCCAGGCUUGCGGUCGAUACGGGCAGGCUCGAGUUCGGUAGGGGAGACUGGAAUUCCUGGUGUAGCGGUGAAAUGCGCAGAUAUCAGGAGGAACACCGGUGGUGUAGACGGCUUUCUGGACCGUAACUGACGCUGAGACACGAAAGCGUGGGUAGCAAACAGG